CUUCAGUAAAUCUAGGGAGAAUCAGACUUAAACUGCUGAUUUGGAUAAGGUAAAGAAACACAUGUCAUACAGAAUCUGCUUUCCACUCACUAAUUUUUUAGCAUAGGAAAAAAGGCCUUUCAGAACAUCUUCAUAUAUAACAAAUCUAUUUUUUAUUCCUCUACACAUCUCCAUUAAGAAGAUGUAAUGCAGACACUGUCUUAGUGCCUGAUAUAAAACUCACUAAAGCAUAUGGAAGUAUUUCCAUGCAUUUCACUAGACUGGUUUGAAAGAAUCCUGUGUAGAGAGCAUAUUUUAUGGCUCUACAAAACAAAUAUCCUUCAGUUUUAAUAGAAGCCUUGCUGGUCUAAAGCAAGGUGUUUUAUUAGUCUGUACCUGAUGUAUUUGGUUAAUGAGAGUACAAUUUAGCAUGUCUGUUAUUAAGUCUAAAAAAAUAUAUCUUGAACUGUGGUAGGUACUUGAAAGGAAAAAAAUUCUAUAGCAGUAACAAAAGCUAUAUACUUUGCAUGGUAAUGCUAUUUAUUUUCAUUUAAAGUAAUCAGCUCUUUGGUAGAAAACUGGUCUAUAAUCAACCAUUUGGAAGUGCUUUGUUAAAGCCUUUUUUCUGUAAGGAUGAGGGACAGUUUGGAAAGCCAAGAACUAAAACCUAAUGGCCCAAUUCUUCAUUUGUCAUUCAUAUAAGCAAAAGUCAUUCCAGUGGUUCAAGGGCAUUACUUGCUUCAAUUAGGCUACUGUAGAAGAUACGCAAGUUCUGGAUUGCCCCAUGGCAUUUAAUUUGUUCUUGCAAUCCCAAAUAAGGGAAAUAAUGAAUGUGCCUUUUUUAUUUUAAUUAUGUAAAUGAGAUUGGGCAGUCUUCAUCUGGCACAAGAAGAGUGGCAAGACUCCUUAUUUCUCCUGAUCUCUGCUUAUGAAAGAAGGGCCAAGGAAACUCAUUCCUAGAGUGUAAGCUACCAAGAAAAGACUACCAUCACUGAAUCAGGUAGGCACACAAUACCUCAUUAAAUAAAAUCUUGGUGGAUUUUUGACUUUAUGUUUGG
rnacentral:lncRNA from 1 species